rnacentral:rRNA from 1 species
AGCGAACGCUGGCGGCAGGCCUAACACAUGCAAGUCGAACGAACUCUUCGGAGUUAGUGGCGGACGGGUGAGUAACACGUGGGAACGUGCCUUUAGGUUCGGAAUAACUCAGGGAAACUUGUGCUAAUACCGAAUGUGCCCUUCGGGGGAAAGAUUUGUCGCCUUUAGAGCGGCCCGCGUCUGAUUAGCUAGUUGGUGAGGUAAAGGCUCACCAAGGCGACGAUCAGUAGCUGGUCUGAGAGGAUGAUCAGCCACAUUGGGACUGAAACACGGCCCAAACUCCUACGGGAAGCAGCAGUGGGGAAUCUUGCGCAAUGGGCGAAAGCCUGACGCAGCCAUGCCGCGUGAAUGAUGAAGGUCUUAGGAUUGUAAAAUUCUUUCACCGGGGACGAUAAUGACGGUACCCGGAGAAGAAGCCCCGGCUAACUUCGUGCCAGCCGCCGCCGUAA